rnacentral:snoRNA from 1 species
UUGUUUCCACUACAGAUGCAAGAAAUGUGUCUUUGCACUUUCUGUCUGCCUGACUGUGGCAGCCAAGAUUGAGUAGAGGAAUAUAGGG